UACGUAGGGGGCAAGCGUUGUCCGGAAUCAUUGGGCGUAAAGAGCGUGUAGGCGGCCAGAUAAGUCCGCUGUGAAAACUCGAGGCUCAACUUCGAGCUGUCGGUGGAAACUGUCUGGCUAGAGUCCGGAAGAGGAGAAUGGAAUUCCUGGUGUAGCGGUGAAAUGCGCAGAUAUCAGGAAGAACACCCGUGGCGAAGGCGGUUCUCUGGGACGGUACUGACGCUGAGACGCGAAAGCGUGGGGAGCGAACAGG
rnacentral:rRNA from 1 species